GCGAAAGUUUAACUCGAAGUAGAGUGGCUCGUAGUGUUCAAGUUUUUGUCGCGUUGUACUUUCUAUUUUAAUUAUACAUUAUCUGUUUAUUGGCCAUCUGGAGUAUUCAUGAAAUUAGAACCCAUCAUAUUUAAUAUCUAAUAUAUACUAAAUAGACGAAAAGAUUCAGUAUAAUAGCUAAGGUACUGGAAUGUAACGCAAAAAAAUCAAGUCCCACAAGAUUACACAGCUGUACCUUUGAGAGAAUGUGUCUGUAAGUUAUACGAGAUGAUUCCCACACAAAUGGCUUGGUGGUGCAGUAUAUGGAUUCAGUCCAGCACACUGCACAGAUAAGGAGUACAAGCCAUAAGACAUAACGCUAUGCCUUCGGCAGAACGUCGAUCUCGGGUGCAAAAGCUGUAUGGAAUCAGGCAGAUGUGAAAAGUCCAAUAAACGUCACCAGCAGGUAUCACCCUCUUUAUCUUGCAGACAUGAGGGGAGGAGGUGGGAGAUGACUUAGGGAAAAUGAUAGCAAUUGCUCAUGUUAGCAGUUGCCCUUUUCACCUUGUCUAUGUCUUAAUUUGAUAUCCUUCUAUGUGGGUGGAAAUGAAUUUGCCUGUUAUGCAUUGGGGGAGAAAACUCUGCAUUCUCAGCCUUACUACUUUUUGUCACAGCCUUUUCUUCCAACCAACACAGAUGUUUUUCUGCCACUGGUAACUUUACGUGUUUAAUUUUACAUAAUUCAAAAAUCAUAAGCAGCUUCACCUGUUUGUCUCUUUGAUUGUUCAGCACAUCUUCACAUUCUGUUUCACCAGCAAACCCUCUGCUUCUAACCGGACUCCACUUCUGUUUUGAGUAGAUUAUUUCCAGAAUAAUGAAAAACUGAAAAAGAAAGUAUUUGAAUUCAGUCUAGUUUAUUUUUAUUUAGGGUUAGGGGCUAUAACACUGACGCUAACCACAUGCUGCAUGUUUCUGGACGGUCGGUUGGGUGCCAACUUUGUUCACCUUAAUUUGUCUCACCUGCUCCUUAUUUGGGUGCAUAGCGUUUUUCCUAUUAAUGUUGGACCUGGGCCCAUUCAUGCCAGGGGCUGUUCAUUUCCCAAAAUUCCCAUGCCGUGUGAGGGCCUUCCCAUAAUGAGUCAGUGUUGUAUCUUAGUAAAUAUUUGACUGAAAAUGCCUCCUCCCAGAAUGCUUGUCUUUAUUCAGUUUUAUAUUGUGUUAAGCUGGUG